rnacentral:ncRNA from 1 species
UAUGAUAUUUGGCAAAGCAUUCUAAAGGGUGUGACGCAAAGCUAUAGGGCCUGUAAAAUGGCAGCCAGUUGCAUUU